rnacentral:rRNA from 1 species
CCUACGGGAGGCAGCAGUAAGGAAUAUUGGACAAUGGUGGCAACACUGAUCCAGCCAUGCCGCGUGCAGGAUGACGGUUCUAUGAAUUGUAAACUGCUUUUAUACGGGAAAAAACCCUCAAGACGUGAUUUUGAGCUGAUUGUACCGUAAGAAUAAGGAUCGGCUAACUUCGUGCCAGCAGCCGCGGUAAGACGAAGGAUCCAAGCGUUAUCCGGAUUUAUUGGGUUUAAAGGGUGCGUAGGCGGACUCAUAAGUCAGUGGUGAAAUCCCAAAGCUUAACUUUGGAACUGCCAUUGAUACUGUAAGUCUUGAGUAUGUUUGAAGUGGGCGGAAUGUAUUGUGUAGCGGUGAAAUGCUUAGAUAUAAUACAGAACACCAAUUGCGAAGGCAGCUCACUAAACCAUAACUGACGCUGAGGCACGAAAGCAUGGGGAGCAAACAGGAUUAGAUACCCUGGUAGUCCAUGCCCUAAAACGAUAGAAAUACUCGAUAAUGUGCGAAUAUACAGUACGUGUCUAAAGCGAAAAGCAUUAAAGUAUUCCACCGUGGGGAGUACGCUCGCAAGAGUGAAAACUCAAAAUGAAAUUGACGG